rnacentral:rRNA from 13 species
AAGAAGAAUUGAAGAAGAAUUGAAAAAAUCAGAAGAGAAUAAGUCACGUUCCCUCUUCUCUACGAAUCAUCAUUUUAUGUUGUUAUAUGUUU